AUACUUACCUGGCAGAGGAGGUACCAUGAUCACGAAGGUGGUGUUCCCAGGGUGAGGCUUAUCCAUUGCACUCCUGCGAUUUCCCCAAAUGUGGGAAACUCGACUGUGUAAUUUGUGGUAGUGGGGUACUGCAUUUGUCCUUCCCCAUC
rnacentral:snRNA from 1 species